rnacentral:rRNA from 1 species
CCAUUAGAUGUCCUGGGCCGCACGCGUGCUACACUGACGCCUACAGCGAGUACUUCCCAGCCCCGAGAGGUGGCUGGUAAUCAGCAAUAGGCGUCGUGAUGGGGAUAGAUCUUUGGAAUUAUGGAUCUUGAACGAGGAAUGCCUAGUAAGCGCAGGUCAUUAGCCUGCGCUGAUUAAGUCCCUGCCCUUUGUACACACCGCCCGUCGCUCCUACCGAUUUCGAGUGGUCCGGUGAAUCUUUCGGACUGCGCGCGGCCUCGUGCCGUGUCGCGGAAAGUCAGGUAAACCUUAUCACUUAGAGGAAGGAGAAGUCGUAACA